rnacentral:rRNA from 1 species
UGCCAGCAACCGCGGUAAUACGGAGGGUGCAAGCGUUACUCGGAUUUACUGGGCGUAAAGGAUGCGCAGGCGGCUAUGUGUGUUAGGUGUGAAAUCUCGGGGCUCAACUCCGAAACUGCGCCUAAAACUGCAUAGCUAGAGACUCGGAGGGGUAAGCGGAAUUCCAGGUGUAGCGGUGAAAUGCGUAGAUAUCUGGAGGAACACCAAUGGCGAAGGUAGCUUACUGGACGAGAUCUGACGCUCAAGCAUGAAAGCGUGGGUAGCGAAAGGGAUUAGAUA